UUUCUCCCGCCCGUAAAUGGCGGCGGAUCCGCCCCGGCCCCGCGUUCUGCGGGGGAUGCUCGGCCGGGCUGCGGCGGGGCCGGCGCUCGGAGCGCCGUGCGGAGAUCGGAUCGGGGCUGCUCCCGGCACCGUGCGGAGAUCCGAACCGGGGCUGCUCCCGGCGCUGCGCGGCGUCCGAGGCGCUCAGCCUGAUGCCAUCAUCCACCAGCAGCACUUGAACCGAGGCGAUCUUCCCUCACAGAUACUAAAUGCCAAGCAAUAGGCCUCGGAGAUGCCUUGAAAUCAGAGGUUUGAGUGGGAUGAUGUUUAGAAAUUUCCAUCUGGAAGUGCAGAAGUGAUGGAAAACUCACAGGAGCCAAAGCAGAUCCCUCCUGGGUGGGCUGGAUGGGAGAUGAGGCUGCUGGAAUGUCACCUGGAUCAGCUGAACACGUUCUGUCCCUGCAGGAGCCAGGAGCCAAAGCAGAUCCCUCCUGGGUGGGCUGGAUGGGAGAUGAGGCUGCUGGAAUGUCACCUGGAUCAGCUGAACACGUUCUGUCCCUGCAGGAGCCAGGAGCCAAAGCAGAUCCCUCCUCGCUGGGCUGGAGGGCAGCUGCUGGAUCUGCUCUGGGCAAAACUCCCUGCCCCUGCCAGGAGCACUGACUCUGCUUUUCCUCCAGCUCCUGAGCAGUGUCAGGGCCACUGGGAGGGAGUUCAAACCCAAAAAAUCCCCACAGUCCACAGAGUGAAUGAUCCCAGCAGAGAAACGCAGUAUUGUAAUAAAAAACUUACACCUCUGUUAAAAAGGCUAUAACAACACUAUAAUGGGGUUCCCAGGAACCUUCUGGUUUGCUCUUGGUUCUCUUUCAUGUGUUUUUAGUCCCUCAAUGGGCAGCUUGUAGAAUUUAUUCUGGGACUUAGAGGUUGAGCAGGGUGGGCUCUGGAUUGACUUUCGCCUCUGGUGCCACUUUGUUUGAACACAACUGGGCCAGGCUGGGUGAACUCAUGGCCUCAGCUUUCCCCUCCAAAAUGUCCCUCACUUAUUUCCCUGUGGGUGAGCUGGGAUUUGGCCCCAGACUGUCACUCCUCACCUCCCCGUGCCCGCACAGUGUCCGUUCUGUUCCCCACAGAGCCCUGGGGACACCAGGGGGUCCCUUUGCCUUCUCCCGCCCCUUUCCAGCCCGAGGCUCCUCUGCCCUUGUCCCACACAGCACAGGGGCACAAAAGGGGAAAGGCUCCAGAAAACAUUUCUGCAAUUAACCAGCAAUUAUUUCAAUUCCCCAGUGAGAAGAACAUGAACUCACAGCCACCGAGGCCUGACAGGUUCCUGCAGUGAGAGCCCAGUGUGUGUGUGCAGAGGCGAGUACAGCAUCUGAAAGGAAAAACACAGGGGAAAAACGUGAUUUAUUUUGCUUCCAAGUUAUUUCAAGUUCUUAAAGCCCAACCAACUUUUGCUCUUGACUUUGGUUGGGUGAAACAGGAGCAGUGGGCAGAGGUCGUGCCAUUGAUGCGGACAUGCCUGAUGCUUUCUAGGGCAGAAGAAGUAGAUUAAGCUCACCUUAUGUCAAGCAGUUAUUAAAAAAGAUUUAUAGCUCUUUAACAUAACACCCUUUAAUUACCAUAAUGUUUCUUCCAUGAUUUUAACUAAUUCUCAGUGUAUUUUAUAAGACCUAAAAUAACACCUCCUCCCUAACAGGCUCAUAAACCAUUAGACAGAGUCCUAAUGCCUGUCUCACACUUCACACAUCUAACAGGAGACCCUCCCCAUAACCAAACAAAACAUCAAAAUAAUGUGCCAAAAGUAGUCCUUACUAACAUUAAAAAUACAACUCAACCAUAUCCAAAAACUUUAUUUCCUCCAACACCAAAUACUCUUCAAAUUCUAAA